AACGCGAAGAACCUUACCUGGGUUUGGCAUCCUCUGAACGUCGUAGAGAUACGAAAGGCCCGAAAGGGACAGAGAGACAGGUGCUGCAUGGCUGUCGUCAGCUCGUGUCGUGAGAUGUUGGGUUAAGUCCCGCAACGAGCGCAACCCUUGUUCUUAGUUGCCAGCAUUAAGUUGGGCACUCUAAGAAGACUGCCAACGUUAAGUUGGAGGAAGGUGGGGAUGACGUCAAGUCCUCAUGGCCUUUAUAUCCAGGGCAACACACGUGCUACAAUGGCCGGUACAAAGCGCUGCGAAAUCGCGAGAUGGAGCUAACCGCAAAAAACCGGUCUAAGUUCAGAUUGGAGUCUGCAACUCGACUCCAUGAAGUUGGAAUCGCUAGUAAUCGCGGAUCAGAACGCCGCGGUGAAUACGUUCCCGGGCCUUGUACACACCGCGUGUCU
rnacentral:rRNA from 1 species